rnacentral:rRNA from 1 species
AUUGAACGCUGGCGGCAUGCCUAACACAUGCAAGUCGAACGGUAACAGGCCCUUCGGGGUGCUGACGAGUGGCGGAUGGGUGAGUAAUACUUAGGAAUCCACCCUGUAGUGGGGGACAACCCGGGGAAACUCGGGCUAAUACCGCAUACGCUCUACGGAGGAAAGCGGGGGACCGCAAGGCCUCGCGCUAUUGGAUGAGCCUAAGCCCGAUUAGCUAGUUGGUGGGGUAAUAGCCUACCAAGGCAAUGAUCGGUAGCUGGUCUGAGAGGACGACCAGCCACACUGGGACUGAGACACGGCCCAGACUCCUACGGGAGGCAGCAGUGGGGAAUAUUGGACAAUGGGCGAAAGCCUGAUCCAGCGAUGCCGCGUGUGUGAAGAAGGCCUGCGGGGUUUGUAAAAGCACUUUCAGUAAGGGAAGAAAAUGCUUUGGAGCUAACACCGCCAAGUUUUGACGUUACCUACAGAAGAAGCACCGGCUAACUCCGUGCC